rnacentral:rRNA from 1 species
GAUGAACGCUGGCGGCGUGCCUAAUACAUGCAAGUCGAGCGAACAGACGAGGAGCUUGCUCCUUUGACGUUAGCGGCGGACGGGUGAGUAACACGUAGGUCACCUACUUAUAUUACUGGGAUAACUUCGGGAAACCGGAGCUAAUACCGGAUAAUAUUUCGAACCGCAUGGUUCGAUAGUGAAAGAUGGCUUUGCUAUCACUUAUAGAUGGACCUGCGCCGUAUUAGCUAGUUGGUAAGGUAACGGCUUACCAAGGCAACGAUACGUAGCCGACCUGAGAGGAUGAUCGGCCACACUGGAACUGAGACACGGUCCAGACUCCUACGGGAGGCAGCAGUAGGGAAUCUUCCGCAAAGGGCGAAAGCCUGACGGAGCAACGCCGCGUGAGUGAUGAAGGUCUUCGGAUCGUAAAACUCUGUUAUUAGGGAAGAACAAACGUGUAAGUAACUGUGCACGUCUUGACGGUACCUAAUCAGAAAGCCACGGCUAACUACGUG